UUUUUAAAGAUUUUAUUAUUUAUUUGACACACACACACACACACACACACACACACACACACACAGAGGCAGAGACACUGGCAGAUGGAAAAGCAGGCUCCAUGCAGGGAGCCCAAUGUGGGACUCGAUCCUGGGACUCCAGGAUCACGCCCUGGGCGGAAGGCAGGUGCUAAACCGCGGAGCCACCCAGGGACCCCCUCAACGUGAUUUUUUAAAAGAAACGUUUAGUCGUGGUAUAUACACAUCAUACAAAAUUUACCUUGGAGCACUUGGUUGGCUCGGUAGGUUAAAUGUCUGCCUUUGGCUCAGGUCUUGAUACCAGGAUCCCAGGAUCAAGCCCCAUGUUGGGCUCCCUGCUCAGCAGGGAGUCUGCCUCUCCCUCUGCUCCUCCUCCAGCUUGUACAAGUGCUCUUUCUUUCUCUUGCUCAUUCUCUCAAAUAAAUAAUAAAAUCUUCUAAAAAAUACAAUAUAUUUAUUUACCAUCUUAACCAUUUCUAAGUGUGCAGCUCAGUGGCAUUAAGUAUAUUCACAUUGUCAUGUGACCAUCACCACCAUUUGUCCACAAAACUCUUUCAUGUUAUGAAAUUUAAACUCUGUACCUAUCAAACAAUAACUCUAAUUUCCCCUCUCUCCCCUUAGCCCCUUGGAACCUCCAUUCUACUGUUACUAUGAGUCUGACUUCCUUGUAUAAGUGGAUCCAUGUAGCAUUUGUCCUUUUGAGAUUGGCUUAUUUUAUUUAACAUAAUGUCUUCAAGGUUCACCCAUGCUGUAGUGUAUGUUCAAUAUGGUUUUUAUUUGAAUUUCCCUGAUGACUAAUGAUGUUCAUGUGCUUAUUGGUCAUUUGUACAUUCCCUUUGGAGAGAUGUCUAUUCAGAUCCUUUCAUUGUGUGUCAUUUAAUGAAUAUCCUAGACUAAAACCCACUUUUUGAAUUGCAUACAACAUAUCUCUACGUAUUUCCCUUUACUUUAUCCCCCUAGAAUUCACACAAUGUAGUGUAUCACUUAAUCACAGUCUUUGUGCCAAUAGAGGCUAAGUAAUAGUUGCUGUUCAUAAAUAACAAAGUCCUGAUCAACCCUGAUGUGCCUACUGGCCUAAUAAAGAAAAAUGUUAAUUAUGUUAAUUAGAAAUAUAACUUAAGAAGUCAUAUGUAUUUUAAUCAGUCUGAUUUUUAAAAAUUGGUGAUACAGAUUCUAAUUACUCUGUCAUUCCUAUUUUUCUCAUUUCAGUCCAUUUUAUACAUUGCUACCUGAAUAAUUUUUGACAGUAUAAAUGUGAUCAUGUCAUUUAUUCCAUAGCUCAAAAACUUCCAUAGCUCCCAUAGCUCCCCAUUACCAAUUAAGAUAUAUACAAUGCUCUCUAUAAUUGGAUCUUUCUUUUUUUUAAGAUUGAAUUUAUUUAUUCAUUAGAGACUCACCGAGAGAGAGGCAGAGACCAUAGUCAGAGGGAGAAGCAGACUGCCUGAGAAGAGCCCCAUGAGGGACUUGAUCCCAGGACCUCUGGAUCACGUCCUGAGCUGAAGGCAGACGCUCAACCACUGAGCCACCCAGCCGUCCCUUGGAUCUUUAUUUUGAUUGAAGAAAUCAGUAAGAAAUUGCAUUUUACAUAAAGAACUAGAACACAGGGGCACCUGUGCCUAUGUCUCUGCCUCUUUUUCUGUGUCUCUGUGAAUAAAUAAAAUCUUAAAAAAAAAAGGACCAGAACAUAAACACAUAUAUAUAAACAAACACACACUCAAACAACAGAAAUAUAUCUUUUACAAAAUGUUCCUACCCUUACAGCAUACAGCGUAUUCUGAUAUUUUGGAAUUUUUUAAAAAAGUAGGUAGUGAGAUUCACUAUCUUGAUUUUCAAAACCAAGUUUGGAAAACACCAUUCUACAACAUGGCCAACCAUGGCAAGGUUCUUCUGAGUAUGGUAAAACUUACUGUAGUGGUUUUCAAACCUAGUGGCAAAUUAUAAUCACUUGGAGAACUGGGAGGAGAAACAAGAAAAGCGUGCUAAUCUAGAUCUCCACUCUGAAAAAUUCUCAUUCAUAAGGUCUGGGAAGGAGCCCAGAAAUCUGUGUUUUUAUUAAAACCUUCUCAGUAGGGGGAUCCCUGGGACCCUGGGAUCACACCUGAGCCAAAGGCAGACGCUCAACCGCUAAGCCACCCAGGCGUCCCCCCACUGAUCUUUACAAAGUUUAUCAUGGUUCUAAUCUCAGCAGAAUAUCACCUGUCAGAGAAGUCUUUGACUAUCCAAUGUAAAACAUAUAACCAGUUAUCCACCACCACCAUCCCACUCCUAGUCUUCUUGGAUCACAGCACCCUAUUUCAUUGUUAUUAAAGCAUUGUUAUUAAAGCAUUGUUAUUAAAGCAUUCAAACUCUCAUCUGCAACUUGUUCAUUGUAUCUCCACUGCUAGAUAGUAAGCUCAGGGAAACUAGUGGCCUGUUUUAUUCUGGUCAGGGCUUCAUUCUCAGUACAUAGAGUAGCGGCUGGCAUCUAGUAAGUGCUAAAUAUAUAUGUGUUGAGUAAAUGAAAUACCCAUCCAAAUUGAAUUUAAAUUAAAAAAAAAAAAAAAAGAAAGAACCAUCAAUGAUGUCACAGAGGAAGUGCCUCUUUAACCUAUGGUUUGCUCAGAGAAAUUGCCUAAUAAUGAUCUUUGGAAUGACUUCAGCAAGUGCAUUAGGUAAUAUACCCCAAAUGUUGGUUGGCUGUAUAGUUAACAUUAGCCAGACUUCAUAGUUCACCCAGGAAGAUGAACUUAGAGUUUGCAUAAGCUGUGGGGCCAGCUUCCUAUUCGACAAUCUUUUACAUAUAGGUAGUAAAGUAUGGAGGGCAGGUAUUGUAGGUUUCAGAGCGCAGCUGUACCCAUAUAUGCUGUGCCUGCUGCAGGCAGCAGCAGAACUCUGAUGAAAAGCAGAGGAAAUUACAGUUGUUGGGCCUUGUGGUCACAAGGGCAUGUGUUGCAUUUGCAAGGUCAUCAUGGGAUAAUUCAGGGUGUAGCUUGCACACAUUCUGCUGCUGAAAGAGAGAUUUUUUUUCCUACCACAUCCGACACAUGGUUUGCCAGAGGAAGGGCACGAGAUCAGCAGCUCUGAUGAGUUGGCUUGGUGUUUUUAGGCCACACUCUACUAAACCAAUGACUCCCUUCUGACUCUUCCAAAAGAGCCAAAGGAAUUUUUAUUCAUUACCAAGUGUGAAUAGCAAUCACAAAAAGCCACCAGAUUGCUUUUGCCUGCUAUAUCAGAAGGCACUUCUCAAAAUGAAAAAAAAAAAAAAAAAAAAAAAAGA
rnacentral:lncRNA from 1 species